GACGAACGCUGGCGGCGUGCUUAACACAUGCCAGUCGAACGGAAAGGCCCUGCUUGCAGGGUACUCGAGUGGCGAACGGGUGAGUAACACGUGGGUGAUCUGCCCUUCACUUCUGGAUAAGCCUGGGAAACUGUGUCUAAUACCGGAUAGGAGCCAUUUUUAGUGUUUUGGUUGGAAAGUUUUUUCGGUGUAGGAUGAGCUCGCGGCCUAUCAGCUUGUUGGUGGGGUAAUUGCCUACCAAGGCGGCGACGGGUAGCCGGCCUGAGAGGGUGGACGGCCACAGUGGGACUGAGAGACGGCACAGACGCGGAAGGGAGGAAGAAGGGGGGAAUAGUGAAAAAGGGGCGCAAGCCUGAUGCAGCGACGCCGAGGGGGGGAUGACGGGCUUAGGGUUGUAAAAACAAUGCGCUAGGGACGAAGCUUUUUGUGACGGUACCUAGAGAAGAAGCACCGGCUAACUACGUG
rnacentral:rRNA from 1 species